rnacentral:lncRNA from 1 species
AUUUUUAUAGCGUAAAAGCUAAAUAAAUUUAUACAUACUUAAAUACAGUAAGCCAAAAUAUUUAAUUUAAUUUACAAUAACAAGAGUGCCCCCGAAUAAACAAAAGUAAAGAGGACUAUGAACUUACGGUUUGGAAAAUACAGAUCCCACUGUAGUCCUCGAUGAGAUCAGCUAUCUACAGUUUAUACUGAACCUGAAAUGGGUGGAAAGGAGGGUGGUGAGAUUAUAAAAUCCUAAUGAAUAAACAGACAUCAUCAUAAACAUCUAGAGUUGAGUACAUGGAAACAAUAAAGUAAAUCAUCAUAAACCGGGUUAUAGCAUUAGAACACAUUUUGUUCAAAACAUGUAAAGAAGCUUAUGAAUCUCAUAAAAAUCUAGGCUUGUGCCAUAAAUCUAUUCUCGGGGACACCUUGGCUAAGGCAUCCUACCAAGACCGCCAAGGCUAUUAAAAUUCACAUUUCUCAUAAAUCAUGUUUUUGUUUUGAAAACAUAGCCGUUCAUUGGCGUUGGCUGAGUCCCCCCUCACGUGGUGGUUUAGCGUGAAGUGAACCCUAAACUUUACCCCAGGAGAUACCCUACGCGCCUCUUCGUUCAAGGUAAAAAUAUAAUGAGGUUUACCGUGCCCCUCUAAAAGGCUGAUCCACAGAAACCCCCUACUGCAGUGAUUAAUUAAUAUAUAAUCCACCAUAUAAUAAAACUCAAUAACAUGAUAUGGCAAUUUUGUAAUUCGUAGUUUUUCAAGGCAACCAAACAAUUCGCAUUUCAAUACAAUUGCCAAUUAGCCAAUCAUGCUCGAUUUAUCAUAAGCCAGUCAAUUUAAACAAUCAAAUUGCCACAAUUAACAGUCUCCGUGUACUCUAUUUUUUCAAAAUCAUUAUUGAUUCCAAAACAAUUUAUAAAUUAAUUUCAUUGAAACUCAUUUAUUCAUAAAACAUGAAAAUUUUCCUUUUUAAAUUCCUUUUUUCAUAGAAUUCAUGAAAGCAUCUAAAAACCACCCUAGAUAAUUAAAAUGACAGUAAGUUUACUCACAAUGUCUAGAAUGCAGACUUUCGAAGCACUCUGUCUACUGGUCCUUGGAUGCAAUUUCCUUGCCUUUAUCGGAGGACUCACCACCUUGACACAGUACAAAAUCGAGAAUUUCACCAAGUUGGUACUAAAUCAAAAUUAAACUAAUUUUGACUACCAAUGCAUGAUAUGGAAUGCAAAAAUGCACUGGUAACUAUCUAAACUCAGUAUUGGCCUAAUUCAUCUUAUCACCCGAUUAAAUUCCUAACGCGUCCGUUUAAACUCCAAUUUAAUUCUUUUCAGUUUCUAUACCUCAAUUGCACCCAAAUUAACUUAAUGUCCCUCAGUGUGGUGCAAAUUAUCAGUCCCAACAGUAAAUUACGAAAAUACCCCUAGUGGGUAAAAAUUUAUAUUUUUGCUCCGAAAAUUCCCAUUAUUUUUCUAGACUCAUAAUUCAUCAUUUCUUAACCAAUUCUACUAGAAUAAAAAUCAAACUCAUCCUCACUCACUACAUGGUAAAUUCAGCCAUUAAUGGUUGUGGGAGAAAAUAAAUUCUUUUCUUGUUGUUUUGUUUCUAAAUAUGCUAAACUAACUAAAAACACUAACAUAAAUUAAAAUCAAAUAAAUCCAACAACUUUCUCUCUCCUAACCCAUUUUAAUCAGCCAACAAUUCAUCAUAAAAACAUGAAAUUUGAGCAUGGAAAAUGAAGAGAAAUGCUUAAGGAAAAUAGAUUUCAAGCUUAAGUUGAAAAAUCCUACCUUUUUCACUUGUUUUACUUGAUUUUUCACACUUUUUCUCUUGAAA